GAAUUUGAUCUGGUUCAGGAUGAACGCUAGCUACAGGCUUAACACAUGCAAGUCAGGGGCAUCAUGCGGUUGCUUGCAACCGAUGAUGGCGACCGGCGCACGGGUGAGUAACGCGUAGUCCAACUUCCCCUUAGUAGGGCAUAGCCCGUGAAAUGCGGAUUAACACCCUAUGUUCUUCAUGGAUGGCAUCUGACGUGAAGCAAAGUUUACGCUAAGGGAUGGGGAUGCGUCUGAUUAGGUUGCAGGCGGGUAACGGCCCACCUGGCCGACGAUCAGUAGGGGUUCUGAGAGGAAGGUCCCCCACAUUGGAACUGAGACACGGUCCAAACUCCUACGGGAGGCAGCAGUGAGGAAUAUUGGUCAAUGGGCGAGAGCCUGAACCAGCCAAGUAGCGUUGCAGGAUGACGGCCCUAUGGGUUGUAAACUGCUUUUAUCAGGGGAUAAAGUCGGCUACGCGUAGCCGUUCGUAGGUACCUGAUGAAUAAGGACCGGCUAAUUCCGUGCCAGCCGCGGC
rnacentral:rRNA from 1 species